rnacentral:rRNA from 1 species
ACACGCAUGACACACUGCAUAUCAAUAAGCGGAGGAAAAGAAACUAACAAGGAUUCCCUUAGUAACGGCGAGUGAAGCGGGAAGAGCUCAAAUUUGAAAUCUUCAAGGUUCUACCUUGACGAAUUGUAGUUUAUAGAAGUGUUUUCUGUUAGUGGAGUGGCAAAAGUUCUUUGGAGUAGGACAUCAUAGAGGGUGAGAAUCCCGUAUUUGGUCAUUCCUCUCUAGCUUUGUGAUACACUUUCAACGAGUCGGAUUGUUUGGGAAUGCAGUCCAAAAUGGGUGGUAAAUUUCAUCUAAAGCUAAAUAUUGGCGAGAGACCGAUAGCGAACAAGUACCGUGAGGGAAAGAUGAAAAGAACUUUGAAAAGAGAGUUAAACAGUACGUGAAAUUGUCAAAAGGGAAGCGUUUGACACCAGUGUUGUUUUUCCGAAAAUCAAUUACGAAUGUUUUAGUUUUUGAGGAGUUAUGACUUCAUCGGCUUGCUUCUCUCUUUAUGAAACUUUCUUAAUGCACUUUUCGGUUAACAAGUCAACAUCAAUUUCUUUUGUUGUAAAAGGGUACGAGGAAGGUGGCUUUCUUUUCGGAGAAAGUGUUUAUAGCCUUGUACCUCUGCAAUCGGAGAGAUUGAGGUCUGCAGCGUAGAUCCUUCGGGGUUAAAUACAUUUGUGCUAAGCUAUAGCUUUUUAUAGACAACUUGUUGACUAUAUUUAGUCUUGUGGCUUACUCGCUUAUGCUAUUUUACCUACGCUUAGGAUGUUGACUGAUAUGUAGUCGU